UAGCCUGCAUGUCUAAGUAUAAGCACUUUAUACUGGGAAACUGGCAAUGGGUUAUUUAAUCCAGUAUUGGUUAUUUGAUUGGACCUUACUUCCUGGAUACCUGGGGGAAUUCUAGAGCUUAUUCCUGCUAAAAACCCCGACUUUCGGAGGGGGGGAUUUAUUUGAUAAAAACCCAAGGCCCUUGGGGGUUCCUGGGGGAUCAAUAAUACCUUACCAAAUCGAUUGGCCUUGCCCCGGCAAUGGUUAUUUCAAAUUUUGGCCUUAUAAACUUUCAAGGGUGGAAUAGGGGCCUCCCAUGGGGGCACCGGUUACCGGGGAAUUAGGGUUCAAUUCCGAAAAGGAACCCUGAAAAACGGUUCCCAAAUCCAAGGAAGGCACCAGGGCCCCAAAAAUCCCCACCCCCAAAACCGGGA
rnacentral:rRNA from 1 species